GCCCAUCUCUUUCUUUAAUUACUUCCUUCAUUUCCUUUCUCUCUCUCUCUCUCUCUCUAAAAAAAACCCCAACACACAAACCCAGCAGCUCUAUCUCUAUGUGUUUGUUGGGCUUGGUUGAGUUACACUGUUCUGCAAUGGCUGCUUUUUUAUGUGGUAACCAAGCUGCCCUUGGUCACCAUGGGGUGCCCUCUUCCUUUGCCUUCGUUAAUCAAGGGUCAUUUUGGCGCUUUCAUAAAUAGAGAGAAGAGACCCAGUUACACUGUAGGUGCUUAAAGGGCAGACAGGAUGGAGCCAGGCAAAAAUAUGAAGACGAGGAGGGGGGAGAAAGAAGAAGCAUAUGAUUCUUCAUCAAUGAUGGGUUUUUUUGGUUUACUCACAUCAGAACGCAGAGGAGAUAGAAAAUGGAAGCAUUUUGAUGCCAUUUCUUUAACAUGUAUGUAAGGCUAAAAUGUUGCUGGUACUCAUUUUAAUAUUUGUCGGAAAUGAUCAUUAUUGGAAA